rnacentral:rRNA from 1 species
UACGUAGGGGGCAAGCGUUGUCCGGAUUUAUUGGGCGUAAAGAGCGUGUAGGCGGCCUGACAGGUCUGCUGUGAAAACUCGAGGCUCAACCUCGAGAUGUCGGCGGAAACCGUCUGGCUAGAGUCCGGAAGAGGAGAGUGGAAUUCCUGGUGUAGCGGUGAAAUGCGCAGAUAUCAGGAGGAACACCGGUGGCGAAGGCGGGUCUCGUGGGCCGAUGACUGACGCUGAGGAGCGAAAGCGUGGGGAGCGAACAGG